UACGUAGGGUGCAAGCGUUGUCCGGAAUUAUUGGGCGUAAAGAGCUCGUAGGCGGUUUGUUGCGUCGGCUGUGAAAUCCCGAGGCUCAACCUCGGGUCUGCAGUCGAUACGAGCAAACUAGAGUGUUGCAGGGGAGACUGGAAUUCCUGGUGUAGCGGUGAAAUGCGCAGAUAUCAGGAGGAACACCGGUGGCGAAGGCGGAUCUCUGGGCCUUACCUGACGCUCAGGCACGAAAGCUAGGGGAGCGAACAUG
rnacentral:rRNA from 1 species